rnacentral:lncRNA from 1 species
CCAUCUUUAUCAUAGUGAAAACACUUUUCCUUCUUGACAGUAUUUUUCUUCGGAACCUCCUUCUUCUCCUUCUUCUUGCUCUCCAUUUUCUGCUUCUUUAUGAACUUUUUUUCUUAGUAGACUUUCUCUUGGAAGAAGUCCACUCCACAGCAAGUACAGAGCCCUUUGAACUCUUCAAGGUACCCUCUACUGUAACCAGCAUAUUGACCAACUCAUAAAUGGUGCACUGGA